rnacentral:rRNA from 1 species
UUGCACAAUGGGCGCAAGCCUGAUGCAGCGACGCCGCGUGAGGGAUGACGGCCUUCGGGUUGUAAACCUCUGUUAGCAUCGAAGAAGCGAAAGUGACGGUAGGUGCAGAGAAAGCGCCGGCUAACUACGUGCCAGCAGCCGCGGUAAUACGUAGGGCGCGAGCGUUGUCCGGAAUUAUUGGGCGUAAAGAGCUUGUAGGCGGUUGGUCGCGUCUGCUGUGAAAGGCUGGGGCUUAACCCUGGUUUUGCAGUGGGUACGGGCUAACUAGAGUGCAGUAGGGGAGACUGGAAUUCCUGGUGUAGCGGUGGAAUGCGCAGAUAUCAGGAGGAACUCCGAUGGCGAAGGCAGGUCUCUGGGCUGUAACUGACGCUGAUAAGCGAAAGCAUGGGGAGCGAACGGAUUAUAUUCCCUGGUAGUCCAUGCCGUAUUC